UACGUAGGGUGCAAGCGUUAAUCGGAAUUACUGAGCGUAAAGCGUGCGCAGGCGGUUUUGUAAGUCUGACGUGAAAUCCCCGGGCUCAACCUGGGAAUUGCGUUGGAGACUGCAAGGCUGGAGUCUGGCAGAGGGGGGUAGAAUUCCACGUGUAGCAGUGAAAUGCGUAGAGAUGUGGAGGAACACCGAUGGCGAAGGCAGCCCCCUGGGUCAAGACUGACGCUGAAGCACGAAAGCGUGGGGAGCAAACAGG
rnacentral:rRNA from 1 species